rnacentral:rRNA from 1 species
UAAGGUUGACCUCGGAUCAGGUAGGAAUACCCGCUGAACUUAAGCAUAUCAAUAAGCCCGGAGGA